AUAAAGGCAAACCACCCCAGCCGUCACCAUCGAUCAUCCCACUGCCACCAUGCUGGCCUCAGGGCUGCUCCUGGUGGCCUUGCUGGCCUGCCUGACUGUGAUGGUCUUGAUGUCUGUCUGGCAGCAGAGGAACAGCAAGGGGAAGCUGCCUCCAGGACCCACCCCAUUGCCCUUCAUUGGAAACUACCUGCAGCUGAACACACAGCAGAUGUACAACUCCCUCAUGAAGAUCAGUGAGCGCUAUGGCCCGGUGUUCACCAUUCACCUGGGGCCCCGGCGGGUCGUGGUGCUGUGCGGACAUGAUGCCGUCAGGGAGGCUCUGGUGGACCAGGCUGAGGAGUUCAGCGGGCGAGGCGAGCAGGCCACCUUCAACUUGUUCUUCAAAGGCUAUUAUGUGACCUUCAGUACCCUGGAGCGCGCCAAGCUGCUCAGGCACUUCUCCAUCGCCACCCUGCGGAACUUCGGGGUGGGCAAGCACGGCAUCAGGAGGUAUCCAGGAGAAGGCGGGCUUCCUCAUCCAGGCCCUCCUGGGCACGCGCGGUGAGCACGCGCGGAUCAAUCCCACCUUCUUCCUGAGCCGAACCGUCUCCAAUGUCAUCAGCUCCAUUGCCUUUGGUGACCGCUUUGACUAUGAGGACAAAAGUUCCUGUCACUGCUGCGCAUGAUGCGGGAAAGCUUCCAGUUCACGGCAACCUCCACGGGGCAGCUCUACGAGAUAUUCUCUUCGGUAAUGACACACCUGCCAGGACCACAGCAACAGACCUUUAAAGAGCUGCAGGGGCUGGACGACUUCAUAGCCAAGAAGGUGGAGCACAACCAGCACACACUGGAUCCCAGUUCCCCACGGGACUUCAUCGACUCCUUUCUCAUCCGCUUGCUGCAGGAGGAGAAGAACCCCAACACGGAGUUCUACAUGCAGAACCUGGUGCUGACCGCGCUGAACCUCUUCAUUGCAGGCACCGAGACCGUCAGCACCACCCUGCGCUACGGCUUCCUGCUGCUCAUGAAGCACCCAGAGGCGGAGGCCAAGGUCCAUGAGGAGACUGACAGAGUGAUCGGCAAGAACCGGCAGCCCAAGUUUGAGGACCAGGCCAGGAUGCCCUACACGGAGGCAGUGAUCCACGAGAUCCAAAGAUCUGGAGACGUGAUCCCCAUGGCUGUGGCCCACAGGGUCAACAAGGACACCAAGUUUCAGGAUGUCUUCCUCCUGAAGGGCACAGAAAUGUUCCCUAUGCUGGGCUCUGUGCUGAGAGACCCCCAGGUUCUUCUCCAACCCCCAGGACUUCAAUCCCCAGUAAUUCCUGGAUGGGAAGAGACAGUUUAAGAAGAGUGAUGCUUUUGUGCCCUUUUCCAUUGGUAAGAGACCACUGUUUGCUGCAAGGCCACUGCUCACACCAGCAGGGGCCUCCCUCACCCAGCUGUCCUUUCUGUGGUGUAGCUGGUAUUUCCCUGGCUUCCAAGUUCCUGUUAGAAUCUACCCUUUAGUCAUCAGCUGAUACUCCCUUAACGACUCAGUACCUGCACCCAGGCAAAAGGGAAGGAAACAUCUUACCCCUUUCAGAGUGGGGAAAACCAAGGCCCAGAGUGAAUCAGAUUCAUUUGUCUAGGGUCACACAGCAGAUUCUUCAGAUUCCUAAAAAGGAGAUGAUAGCACAGCAGUCGUAUUUGCGAGUGUAUCUGGAGGAAGGGGCAUCUAAACCUUCCAUUAUGACACCUGGCAUGGAUCACCCCAUCUUUCGUACAUCCUUUGUACACUCAGGAAACUGAGGCUCAGGGAGGAUCAGAGCCUCCUCUGAACAUCUCUCAGGCCAUAAUAUUCCACCCCUCCUCCCUAGGAGAGCUGUAGCUGGAGGUCGGUAGUGGGGUGAGGCUACACCGAGAAUGGGCUUCACCUCCACCCCUCCCGCCUCUCCUCCUCAGGAAGGACACAAAUUUCAAGGACACCAAGUUUCUCCUCCUUUAUUCCCCUCCUUUGAGAACCUCACUCAUUAGUGGGAGUUAUCGCUUUCAUCCUCACUACCCAUGAUUUCUUGCAAGACAGAUUAAUAGUGAUUCAUAUAGUACACUUGUGCUGUAGCAUUUUGUUGGACUAAGGUAGCGAUGAAGCUUUUUAUCAUUUGAAGAAGUAUAGGUAGCAAACAAGGGAGCAGGAAGCAGGUUCCUAUUACUACUAUAACUCCUAUUAUGAGAGUUUAAAUCCUCCUAGUGCUGGGAACCAUUUUCCAAACAUGGCCCCCGGAUCCAAUCCAUGCCACACUUACACGGGCACAUGUGCCAGUUUUGUCAUAUCUCUAACUAUGUCUUCAACUACUUGUUCUUGGUCAUCUAUGUGUAGACGACAAUUAGUAAGGUUAAGUUUCUCACAGGCGCCUCCUUCAGCUGCUAGCAAGUACUCAAGAGCCAAUCUAUUUUGAUAGAUAGUACUUCUCGUCUGUGUUUCUUGCCAGGCCAAAAUAGUCAAGGCUCUGUCGGUUUUAUUAGUGAUUAUUUCUAAGACAGCUGGUAACCAUAUGAUUCGGCUGAACAUGUAAGUGCCCAGCCUGUUGUACAUUUUACAUUAUAGAGGGAAUAUAAUUGUAACGUUUGUAACACAAAGAAAUGGUGAGUGCUUGAGGUGAUGGUUACCAGAUUUACCCUGAUGUGAUUAUUAUAUGUGAUUAUACACUGUAUGUCUAUCUACAUUGUAUGUCUGUGAUUAUACAUUGUCUGUAUCGAAAUAUCUCACACACCCUAUACUAUAUACACCUACUAUGUAGCCACAAAGAUUUUUAAAAAUAAAAAUUGCAUAGACUCCUCAAACCC